rnacentral:ncRNA from 24 species
CGCCCGGCCGGAUCCCGUGGGGGGAAUCCGUACCGGGACUGGGAAGGCGCCCUGGCCGUCGGC